rnacentral:rRNA from 1 species
UACGUAGGGUGCAAGCGUUGUCCGGAUUUAUUGGGCGUAAAGAGCGUGUAGGCGGCCGGAUAGGUCCGUUGUGAAAACUGGAGGCUUAACCUCCAGCGGUCGAUGGAAACCAUCUGGCUAGAGUCCGGAAGAGGAGAGUGGAAUUCCUGGUGUAGCGGUGAAAUGCGCAGAUAUCAGGAAGAACACCCGUGGCGAAGGCGGCUCUCUGGGACGGUACUGACGCUGAGACGCGAAAGCGUGGGGAGCGAACAGG